UCUGGCAAUGAUGAUACUCUUGCCCUCACUGAGAACACUGUUCAGUAAUGAAAAUCUUGUUAUGUACUCAGAUGUGCUGAGCUAGA
rnacentral:snoRNA from 1 species